rnacentral:rRNA from 1 species
AGUGAACGCUGGCGGCGUGCUUAACACAUGCAAGUCGAACGAGAACGGAUUAUAGCUUGCUAUAAUUGUCAGCUAAGUGGCGCACGGGUGAGUAAUGUAUAGGUAAUAUGCCUCUUACUAAGGGAUAACAAAUGGAAACGUUUGCUAAUACCUUAUACUCCUUAUUAACAGAAGUUAAUAAGGGAAAGAUUUAUUGGUAAGAGAUUAGCCUGUAUUGUAUCAGUUAGUUGGUGGGGUAAUGGCUUACCAAGACUAUGACACAUGACUGGUUUGAGAGGAUGAUCAGUCACACUGGAACUGAGACACGAUCCAGACUCCUACGGGAGGCAGCAGUGGGGAAUAUUGCACAAUGGACGAAAGUCUGAUGCAGCAACGCCGCGUGGAGGAUGACACAUUUCGGUGCGUAAACUCCUUUUAUAUGAGAAGGUAAUGACGGUAUUAUAUGAAUAAGCACCGGCUAACUCCGUGCCAGCCGCCGCGGUAA